rnacentral:rRNA from 1 species
UACGGGGGGAGCAAGCGUUGUUCGGAUUUACUGGGCGUAAAGGGCGCGUAGGCGGCCACCGCAAGUCGGUUGUGAAAUCUCCGGGCUUAACCCCAAAGGUCAACUGAUACUGCGGGGCUAGAGUGCAGAAGGGGCAACUGGAAUUCUCGGUGUAGCGGUGAAAUGCGUAGAUAUCGAGAGGAACACCUGCGGCGAAGGCGAAUCUCUGGACAGUUACUGACACUGAGGCACGAAGGCCAGGGGAGCAAACGGG